rnacentral:rRNA from 1 species
CCUACGGGAGGCAGCAGUGAGGAAUAUUGGUCAAUGGGCGUAAGCCUGAACCAGCCAAGUCGCGUGAGGGAUGAAGGCCCUACGGGUUGUAAACUUCUUUUAUAAAGGAAUAAAGUGAGGCACGUGUGCUUUUUUGUAUGUACCUUAUGAAUAAGGAUCGGCUAACUCCGUGCCAGCAGCCGCGGUAAUACGGAGGAUCCGAGCGUUAUCCGGAUUUCUUGGGUUUAAAGGGUGCGUAGGUGGGUUGUUAAGUCAGUGGUGAAAGUUUGCGGCUCAACCGUAAAAUUGCAGUUGAUACUGGGAGGCUUGAGUAUAGUUGAGGCAGGCGGAAUGCGUGGUGUAGCGGUGAAAUGCUUAGAUAUCACGCAGAACCCCGAUUGCGAAGGCAGCUUACCAAGCCGUGACUGACACUGAUGCACGAAAGCGUGGGGAUCAAACAGGAUUAGAUAGCCCUGUAGUC